rnacentral:tRNA from 1 species
UCCUUGGUGGUCCAGCAGUUAAGACUCUGUACUUUUAAUCCAGGGGACACAAGUUUGAUCCCUGGCCAAGGGA